rnacentral:rRNA from 1 species
CCCUUAGAUGUUCUGGGCCGCACGCGCGCUACACUGAUGCAUUCAACGAGCGUAUCCUUGACCGACAGGUCCGGGUAAUCUUUGAAUCUGCAUCGUGACGGGGAUAGAUUAUUGCAAUUAUUAAUCUUCAACGAGGAAUGCCUAGUAGGCGCAAGUCAUCAGCUUGCGUCGAUUACGUCCCUGCCCUUUGUACACACCGCCCGUCGCUCCUACCGAUUGGGUGUGCUGGUGAAAUGUUCGGAUCGGCCGUUUGUCGCGGUUUCCGCGUCAUGUGGCUGAGAAGUUCAUUAAACCCUCCCACCUAGAGGAAGGAGAAGUCGUAACA